rnacentral:rRNA from 1 species
CUUUUGAUUAUAAUUUAAGGUCUAGCCUGCCCAAUGAUGUAGAGUUAAAUGGCCGCGGUAUUUUGACCGUGCAAAGGUAGCAUAAUCAUUAGUUUUUUAAUUGAAAGCUGGUAUGAAAGGUUGGAUGAGAAAAUUACUGUCUCUAUUUAAGUUUUAUAGAAUUUUAUUUUUAAGUUAAAAAGCUUAAAUUUUUAUUGAAGACGAGAAGACCCUAUAGAGUUUUAUACUUAUUUUAAAUUAAAAAUUUUAGUAUAAAGUUUUUUUAUUUUAGGGUAAGUAUUUGGUUGGGGUGAUUGAAAAAUUGAGUAAACUUUUUUUUAAAAAAAAUCAUUGAUUUAUGAVUAUAUGAUCCYUAUUUAAAGAUUAAAAGAUUAAAUUACCUUAGGGAUAACAGCGUAAUUUUUUUUUAGAGUUCUAAUCGAAAAAAAAGGUUGCGACCUCGAUGUUGGAUUAAAAUUUAUUUUUGGUGUAGAAGCUAAA